rnacentral:rRNA from 1 species
AGACGCUAGCGGGAGGCCUAACACAUGCAAGCCGAGCGGUAGAGUAUCUUCGGAUACUUGAGAGCGGCGUACGGGUGCGGAACACGUGUGCAACCUGCCUUUAUCUGAGGGAUAGCCUUUCGAAAGGGAGAUUAAUACCUCAUAAUAUACUGAUUGGCAUCAAUUAGUAUUGAAAGCUCCGGCGGAUAGAGAUGGGCACGCGCAAGAUUAGAUAGUUGGUGAGGUAACGGCUCACCAAGUCAAUGAUCUUUAGGGGGCCUGAGAGGGUGAUCCCCCACACUGGUACUGAGACACGGACCAGACUCCUACGGGAGGCAGCAGUGAGGAAUAUUGGACAAUGGGUGCAAGCCUGAUCCAGCCAUCCCGCGUGAAGGACGACGGCCCUAUGGGUUGUAAACUUCUUUUGUACAGGGAUAAACCUACCCUCGUGAGGGUAGCUGAAGGUACUGUACGAAUAAGCACCGGCUAACUCCGUGCCAGCCGCCGCGGUAAUUA